rnacentral:lncRNA from 10 species
CUGCUUGCUGGGCUCCAGCCAGCCCAAGUUCCCUCAUGCGCCUGUCUGGGCCUGCCCAAUCCGUGGCCACCUCCUCAGCUGGUCCUGCACAGGCUCCAACCCUGUUGGGGUUGCAUAUCCCCUGUUUGUGCUGCCCGCCAGCUGGCUAAUUCUGAUUAUUUCUCCUUCUCCUUGCUCUCUUGGGCGCCUUUAUUCCUGAUUGUGCAUUUUCUCUGGACUCAGGAUUAAAAAAACCCACGCUGCUGAUAUCCUUGUCAGCCUUUUCCUGAAUCAUUGCUGUGCAGCUCCAGGGAGCCACGGGCCGGUGCCUUCUGACCGGCAGACUCCGUCCAUGGGCCUUCCUGUCCUUGGGGUCCUGGAGCUCUCUGUCUGAGCCUCCUUGGCCACUGAAGCAACACCCAGAGGCCUGCAUCCUCUAAGAAAUGCCAGCCAGGGUUGCAGAUGGAGCCAAGAAUUGAAAAUCUGGCCGAGUCUUUCCAUCUCACAGGUGAUUUCUCUCAAGCACCAGAUAAUUUUUAAAUUUUGAAGUGCUUUUCUCCACGUGAUCUCAUUUGCUGUUAUUGUCCCUGUUUUACAGAUGAGCAAGCUGAACCUCAGAGGGCUUAGUGAUGUGGUUGAGGCACAGCCACCAAGGAUCAAUGACUGAGCCUCAAAACCACCUCUUCUGAGAGUACUGCUUUCUUACCCGAGGAUGGCCCAUCAGGGUGAUCUGGAAGGCAGAAGACGGGAGUUUUUCUGUGAACUCACUGUGGUGGGGGUGGUCCUUGGAAAAGUACUGAGUACACAGAAGUGGCGACGGGCAAAUGGAGAUCCUGGAAAAGGAGGUUUUCUACCAAAAUAUCCUUGUGAACAUGAGGACAGCUUCCAAACUGAGAAAGAGUGGGCUCGAGAAAGCUCUAAUGCUUCUUUCCCUGACACGAAGUGCUUCGUGCAGUGUUUGGCAUCAACAUGUCGGAGCCGUGGCAACGUUCUCCGUGCAUCCCCGCUUGGGCGUCAUUUUGGAUGUAUGAAUAUGGACUGAAGGUCAAACUCAGACCAGAGGCAGGACCCAGGAUCAGAGGCCAGGCUGAUGCCAAGGGUAAAGGACAGGAUGAGAGGACUCUGCAAAAUUGUUCUCCUUUGGCCGGUACCCCUGCCUUGGUUUCUCUCCAGCCCCACACAGUCAGGGAAGAGAAAAGGGAAAAGAGAAGUUUGACUGCCACUGAUAAGAAGGCACAUUAAACACUGUCCUCAUAAUCAAAUUAUUGGCAGGGACUUGACACUUGGUAAAGGUUCAGCUGUGAACUGAACAGUCACUAAUCCUGUGGCAGCUGAAAAUCCUGACCCAGAGAACAGGUGGAGAAGCACCGUACUGACACCAGAAUCCCCAGGAUGCUAUUCAGUUGACA